rnacentral:tRNA from 1 species
AUUUAUAUAGUUUAAUAAAAACAUUAUACUUUCAAUAUAAAAUUGUUAAUAACAAUAGUUA